rnacentral:rRNA from 1 species
GACAGAGGGUGCAAACGUUGUUCGGAAUCACUGGGCAUAAAGCGCACGUAGGCGGUCCACUAAGUCAGGUGUGAAAGCCCCCGGCUCAACCGGGGAAUUGCACUUGAUACUGGUGGGCUCGAGGAUGAGAUGGGUAGGCGGAACUCCAGGUGGAGCGGUGAAAUGCGUAGAUAUCUGGAGGAACACCGGUGGCGAAAGCGGCCUACUGGACCAUCACUGACGCUGAGGUGCGAAAGCUAGGGUAGCAAACGGG